GAUGAAAACGUAGCGAAAUGCGAUAAGUAAUGAGAAUUGCAGAAUUCAGUGGAUCAUCGAAUCUUUGAACGCACAUUGCGCCCCUUGGUAUUCCGAGGGGCAUGCCUGUUCGAGCGUCAUUUCAACCCUCAAGCUCUGCUUGGUCUUGGGCCUGGCCGUGAUGGCCGGUCUUAAAAUCAGUGGCGGUGCCGUCGCAGGCUCCAAGCGUAGUACAUCUCUCGCUCUGGAAACUUGGCGGUGCCUGCCAGACAACCCCUAAUUGUCUCUUUCGGUUGACCUCGGAUCAGGUAGGGAUACCCGCUGAACUUAAGCAUAUCAAUAAGCGGAGGA
rnacentral:misc_RNA from 1 species